rnacentral:rRNA from 1 species
UACGUAGGGGGCAAGCGUUGUCCGGAUUUAUUGGGCGUAAAGAGCGUGUAGGCGGCUAUACAGGUCCGCUGUGAAAACUCGAGGCUCAACCUCGAGACGUCGGUGGAAACCGUAUGGCUAGAGUCCGGAAGAGGUGGGUGGAAUUCCUAGUGUAGAGGUGAAAUUCGUAGAUAUUAGGAAGAACACCGGUGGCGAAGGCGGCCCACUGGUCCGGUACUGACGCUGAGGCACGAAAGCGUGGGGAGCAAACAGG